CAACCCUCAAGCUCUGCUUGGUAUUGGGCUUCACCAGUAAUGGUGUGCCUUAAAAUCAGUGGCGGUGCCAUCUGGCUCUAAGCGUAGUAAUUUUCUCGCUAUAGAUGUCUUGUGGAUACUUGCCAGCAACCCCUAAUUUUUUAA
rnacentral:misc_RNA from 1 species